UACGUAGGGUGCGAGCGUUAAUCGGAAUUACUGGGCGUAAAGCGUGCGCAGGCGGUUUUAUAAGUCUGACGUGAAAGCCCCGGGCUCAACCUGGGAAUUGCGUUGGAGACUGCAAGGCUUGAAUCUGGCAGAGGGGGGUAGAAUUCCACGUGUAGCAGUGAAAUGCGUAGAGAUGUGGAGGAACACCGAUGGCGAAGGCAGCCCCCUGGGUCAAGAUUGACGCUCAUGCACGAAAGCGUGGGGAGCAAACAGG
rnacentral:rRNA from 1 species